AUUGAACGCUGGCGGCAUGCUUUACACAUGCAAGUCGGACGAGUGGCGAACGGGUGAGUAACAUAUCGGCACGUACCGAGUAAUGGGGGAUAACUAAUCGAACGUUUAGCUAAUACCGCAUAUUAUUCGAGCGGCCGAUAUCUGAUUAGCUGGUUGGUGGGGUAAAGGCCUACCAAGGCGACGAUCAGUAGCGGGUCUGAGAGGAUGAUCAGCCACACGGGAACUGAAACACGGCACAGACUCUUACGGGAGGCAGCAGUGGGGAAUGUUGGACAAUGGGCGCAAGACUGACCCAGCCAUGCGGCGUGUCGGAAGAAGGCCUACGGGUUGUAAAGGACUUUUGUCAGGGAAGCGGUACCUGAAGAAUAAGCACCGGCUAACUACGUGCCAGCAGCCGCGGUAAUAC
rnacentral:rRNA from 1 species